CCGGGUCUUCGGCAACCACCCGGUCAGCUGCCUGGCAGCCAAGAGUUGU
rnacentral:ncRNA from 1 species